rnacentral:rRNA from 1 species
UGGGGAAUAUUGCACAAUGGGCGCAAGCCUGAUGCAGCAAUGCCGCGUGAGUGAAGACGGCCUUAGGGUUGUAAAACUCUUUCGCUAGGGAAGAUAAUGACGGUACCUAGUAAAGAAGUCCCGGCUAACUCCGUGCCAGCAGCCGCGGUAAUACGGAGGGGACUAGCGUUGUUCGGAAUUACUGGGCGUAAAGAGCUCGUAGGCGGUCCGUUGCGUCUGCCGUGAAAACCCGGAGCUCAACUCCGGGCCUGCGGUGGAUACGGGCGGACUAGAGUCCGGUAGGGGAGACUGGAAUUCCUGGUGUAGCGGUGGAAUGCGCAGAUAUCAGGAGGAACACCGGUGGCGAAGGCGGGUCUCUGGGCCGGAACUGACGCUGAGGUGCGAAAGUGUGGGGAGCAAACAGGAUUAGAUACCCUGGUAGUCCACGCCGUAAACGAUGAGUGCUAGAUGUUGGGAUUUUCGGAUUUCAGUGUCGCAGCUAACGCAUUAAG